GCGCCUGUAGCUCAGUUGGAUAGAGCACCUGCCUUCGGAGCAGGGUGUCGGGAGUUCGAAUCUCUCCAGGCGCGUCA
rnacentral:tRNA from 1 species